rnacentral:rRNA from 1 species
GACGAACGCUGGCGGCGUGCUUAACACAUGCAAGUCGAGCGAUGAAGUUCCUUCGGGAACGGAUUAGCGGCGGACGGGUGAGUAACACGUGGGUAACCUGCCUCAUAGAGGGGAAUAGCCUUCCGAAAGGAAGAUUAAUACCGCAUAAGAUUGUAGUAUCGCAUGAUACAGCAAUUAAAGGAGUAAUCCGCUAUGAGAUGGACCCGCGUCGCAUUCGCUAGUUGGUGAGGUAACGGCCCACCAAGGCGACGAUGCGUAGCCGACCUGAGAGGGUGAUCGGCCACAUUGGAACUGAGACACGGUCCAAACUCCUACGGGAGGCAGCAGUGGGGAAUAUUGGGCAAUGGGCGAAAGCCUGACCCAGCAACGCCGCGUGAGGGAAGAAGGUUCUCGGAUUGUAAACCUCUGUCCUUGGUGACGAAGGAAGUGACGGUAGCCAAGGAGGAAGCCCCGGCUAACUACGUGCCAGCCGCCGCAGUAACAC